GGUUAAGCGACUAAGCGUACACGGUGGAUGCCCUGGCAGUCAGAGGCGAUGAAGGGCGUGCUAAUCUGCGAUAAGCGCCGGUAAGGUGAUAUGAACCGUUAUAACCGGCGAUACCCGAAUGGGGAAACCCAGUGUGAUUCGUCACACUAUCAUUAACUGAAUCCAUAGGUUAAUGAGGCGAACCGGGGGAACUGAAACAUCUAAGUACCCCGAGGAAAAGAAAUCAACCGAGAUUCCCCCAGUAGCGGCGAGCGAACGGGGAGGAGCCCAGAGCCUGAAUCAGCAUGUGUGUUAGUGGAAGCGUCUGGAAAGGCGCGCGAUACAGGGUGACAGCCCCGUACACAAAAGCGCAUGUGCUGUGAGCUCGAUGAGUAGGGCGGGACACGUGGUAUCCUGUCUGAAUAUGGGGGGACCAUCCUCCAAGGCUAAAUACUCCUGACUGACCGAUAGUGAACCAGUACCGUGAGGGAAAGGCGAAAAGAACCCCGGCGAGGGGAGUGAAAAAGAACCUGAAACCGUGUACGUACAAGCAGUGGGAGCACCCUUCGGGGUGU
rnacentral:rRNA from 1 species